UAGUGUGUUGUAUUGGGAUUGUGAAGAAUGAUAGUUUAGCAUUUUGGGGAUAUUAUUCCAUUCAAAUUAGUUUUUUCAAAUUACAGGAGAUGGAGGAGGUAUAUUAUUAAUUGUUUUCUUGGUUUUAGAACUUUAUUUUUGUGUCCAGUUAGUGCAAAUUAUUUAAAUAUGCCUUGCUAACUUCAAUAGCUAGCUAGCAAGCUACCAGCGCGAGUGUAGUUUUCUCUGCCAGAAUAGUUGAAUGGCCAAUGCUGCCGAAUAUGUUGUGGACUUUUUGUUGAAGAACCCCUUUCAUUUUCUGGGGUACAUGGAAAAGUUGCGAAUUAAAUGCAGGGGUCGACCUCUGCCUGAGCUCAGUUUCAUGAAAAAGGAUGAAAAGUUGAGGGCGUUCAACACCAACUGGUAUCAAAAGUAUAUCUGGUUAACAGGGGACUUUCAUCAAGCCGCCUGUAUCGCUGACCUAACCUGCUUUAUGGAAAGUCUGAGCCUUGGUCGAAAGGUGGGUACAGUGAUCUGAAGAACAUUGAUCGUUCAGCUAAAUGGCAAAACAAAAGCAGGGAGCAUAUAAAUGCUCACAUCAGAUUCAAGCUUCUGUGAAAAAGCUGCAUCGAUUAUGACAAAGGUGUGCGUAUUCAAACUGCGCAACACAACGAGAAAGUAAGAAGAAACAGGGACGUUAUCAAGCUGCUUAUCAACACAACUGCGUUUUUGGGCAUGCAAGAAUUUGCUUUUAGAGGACACGACGAGAGGGAAAGUUCCACCAACAAGGGCAACUACGAGGAGGUUGCAGAGCCAAGUCUCCUCCUGUUCCCUGAUUAAGAGGUGAUGACCACUCCACUUCACUACCAUUGUCAACUUUCUCCUGACAAUAACUGAAGACCCUUCUCAUGUGGCCGCUUAUCCACUGGCACAUUGAAUGUUUCCCCUCCAAGCACUUCAAAUCCUGUCCUGCACGGGUCAAGCCUCUGAACACCAACUCAUGCCUCAUACCCUCAUUCAAUCACUGCUGUGAUCCCUUUCCAACAUUAUGUAAGUAGCCCUCUCAUUCCCAUUCCCCAUAGUAUUGUACCAUAAAUGACUUUAUUAAAUGCUUUAGGUUAAAAUAAUUAAUCUUUGACGAUUUUUUUAAACACACUUUGUGGUCUCCGUGCAUUCUGCGCCUAUACCGUGGGUCUCCCAUCCUCCUCAAUUAUUCAAGUCACCGGCCUCCACUGCUAUGAACAGAGGUCCUCAUAGAAAGUGGCACCAAACCGCCUAUGUUGACAGCCAGGUCUCAUGUAACAUUGUAAAUGUGAAUUCGGGAUUUACAAUUGAAGUCGGAAGUUUACAUACA